rnacentral:sRNA from 1 species
UUCGGAAUAUGUUAGCCUAAAAUCAUCGCAUCCAUGUGAUAACGGCUAACUGACCUGGAUCGUGCAGG